UACUUGUACAGCCCACAGGAGCCCCUGCGAGAGGCGGCCGUCAGGUUCAUUGGGAUCGCCGGGCGGCGCUUUAGAAGGCAGCCGGCAGAAUUCAAGUUCAUCUGUGGAGCCCUUGAACACCUGUCAGAGGACAUCAGCCCUGCCAUCAGAAGCCUGGCACUUCAAACACUGUAUGUCCUCAGAGCAGUAGAGAGAGCUCCAUACUCCACAUUCCGGAGGCUGCAAGAUCAGCUCCGCAGGGCAUGGAAGACACGGCCUCGUCUGUCAGGCUGUGGCUUGCUGUGCUGCAUGAGCUCUGCAGAGAGCUGAUCUGGGAGGCUCUGUCUGAUGGGGCCACCUGAGCCAGCGGGGAUUUUCCUUUUCUUUACGAUUGUUCUUUUCUUCUUUUCAUUUUUCUUUAGUUUGUAAAUAUAGAAUAUG